UACGUAGGGGGCAAGCGUUGUCCGGAAUCAUUGGGCGUAAAGAGCGCGUAGGCGGCCCUGUAAGUCCGCUGUGAAAGUCAAGGGCUCAACCCUUGAAUGCCGGUGGAUACUGCAGGGCUAGAGUCCGGAAGAGGCGAGUGGAAUUCCUGGUGUAGCGGUGAAAUGCGCAGAUAUCAGGAGGAACACCGAUGGCGAAGGCAGCUCGCUGGGAUGGUACUGACGCUGAGGCGCGAAAGCGUGGGGAGCAAACAGG
rnacentral:rRNA from 1 species